UACGUAGGGUGCGAGCGUUAAUCGGAAUUACUGGGCGUAAAGCGUGCGUAGACGGUCGCGUAAGUCAGAUGUGAAAGCCCCGGGCUCAACCUGGGAAUUGCAUUUGAGACUGCUCUGCUCGGGUGCGGAAGAGGGAAGCGGAAUUUCCGGUGUAGCGGUGAAAUGCGUAGAUAUCGGAAGGAACACCAGUGGCGAAAGCGGCUUCCUGGUCCGACACCGACGUUCAGGCACGAAAGCGUGGGGAGCAAACAGG
rnacentral:rRNA from 1 species